rnacentral:tRNA from 3 species
GCCCCGAUAGCUCAGUUGGCAGAGCGCAUCCUUGGUAAGGAUGAGGUCACCAGUUCAAUCCUGGUUCGGGGCUCCA